UGUUUUGCUCCCUGUGUUCUCCUCUGGUGCCUGCCCUGACCUUUGGCCCUGGCCUCAGUUAGAGAGACUCUAAAUGACCCCUGACCUCUGAACCCCAGCUGACCUCCGCACUGAGAGGACGGCAGACAGACAGUAGCUGUUUUAAAAGACCUCCUUCCAUCCGUUCCACAAGGCUGGUGCCAGAUUCCACGGCAGGAAAUCAUACGUCCGACCACCCUCAAGCUCUGAAGGGUGAAAAAAAACAUAGCUGGAAUGACAUGACUCUGAGAUGUAGCUUCCAGAUAGCUCUCAGGAGAAUCACAUUUCAGGACCACAUGAAAGAAAUGACCCGAUUUGGAAAGGAAAGGAGAAAACAUCUCCCAACUGAAGAAACCAGAUGAAGAAACUUCAGUGUGGAUCUCUGAUCUCUUGACAGACUAAACAUUGAACAUUUAAUUUCCAUCCAACUGAACUCAGCUGAAUUCCAUGUAGGUUGUAGCAGAGCCCCCUGUAGAGGAACUGUAAAAGGAAGAGGCUAAUGUGUAGAUCGCACUUCCUCAUACUUCUCCUAUAGACACAGCAGACCAGCAUCACACUUCUCCCAGCUUUUGGAGAGGCAGACAGCAGAACAGCAUCACACUUCUCCCAGCUUUUAAAGACACAGACAGCAGACCAGCAUCACACUUCUCCCAGCUUUUAGAGAGACAGACAGCAGACCAGCAUCACACUUCUUCCAGCUUUUAUAGAGAGAGACAAUUAACCUGUAUCACACUUCUCCCAGCUUUAACAGAGAGAGAGAGAGAGAGAGAGA